CUUACUCUUCCCAGGCUGUCCUCCCUCGGAGCUCCUGAAUGGACAAGGGGGUUAUUACUGAGGGGGAGCUGAGCUGGUCCAGAGACGCCCCGAGCGAGUCAGUGUCAGGGCUCUCGACCUCCCCCAGCGGACCCGGUUCCUGCCUUCCGUGGAUGGGCCCAGGGCCCCCACUUCUGGCUAGCAGCAGCCCCCAAACCGGAAACUCCUCCCUAGUGUACUCAGCUGGUGUUUGACUGGGGAGCCCGGCAGGGUUCUUGGGGGUAGAGAAAUGGCCCAGCUGUCAGAUCACAGAAGCUCAGCCCAGGUCCCUGGGCUCAGACAGUCCCUCCUCUCUCAGCUCAAAGAUAACCAGGACCAGGGAAGAACAAAGAAAAAAAAGAGGAGUUAAAUUAAAAAAUACCACCAUUUGAACCUCCACCCCAAACAUGAUCAUCUGGGCCAGGAGAGGAAUUUGGCAGAGGUUCUUUGGAAGAGGGAGGUAUCCAAUCAUAUUAUGCUUGAGGAUUGGGGCAUUCAUAAGGAUGGAAGAGAUGCUAUAAUGGUCAGCACUGGGGCCCAUCCUUCCCAGGAUUCUGUUUUUAAUAGCAGUUCCCACUGUGUUAUGGUUGUUUUCUGUUACCUCUGCCUCAAUAUCCUCAUCUUAGUAACCCAUUGUGAAUCUCAUCUAUCAGUUUAGCUAAGAUUCCUUGAACCUAUUUGCAUACUUUGCUAUCAUUUUAUUUAAAAUUUAACAUUGGGUUUUUUUUUACAACUCACUGAACUUGGUAAAUAAUCAUUUACAUUAAAAUCAAGUUAAUUUCAUCUCAUGAAGUUGUUAUAAUUUUCAUAAUAAUUUCUCUUUCAAUCAAGAACUCUUAAGUCUUUUGCUAUCAAGGACACCUUGAGCAGUCUGAGA